rnacentral:rRNA from 1 species
AACGUAGGUCCCGAGCGUUAUCCGGAUUUACUGGGCGUAAAGCGUGUUCAGGCGGUCUAGCAAGUCGGGCAUGAAAUCUCUCGGCUCAACCGGGAGGGGUUGUCCGAUACUGCUGGGCUUGAGGGCAGCAGAGGGUGGUGGAAUUCCGGGUGUAGUGGUGAAAUGCGUAGAUAUCCGGAGGAACACCAGUGGCGAAGGCGGCUCACUGGUCCGGUACUGACGCUGAGGUGCGAAAGCGUGGGGAGCAAGCAGG